rnacentral:lncRNA from 1 species
AUGUCACAUAUAUGUAUACUUUGAGACUUGAGUCUGUAACUAGAAUGAGAUCUUCAAGUUGUUGAAGAAAAAUCCAAGGGAAUGAGGUGACAUAAGAUGGUAUUAUUGUGGUUAAUAAUAUAUUUGAAAAUGAACUGUGUUUAAAUGACAAGUACCCCAUAGACAAAAUUCCAACAGCCUACAAACAAAUUUCACACCUCAAAAGCCCGAAAACAAACAGAACCCACAUGCUUCUUUUAAUUUCAUAUUCAAAUUAAAAAUUAAUAUUUGAAUAUUUGUCACAUAAUGGGUGUCUCUGUUUGUCAUUUUUAGUUCCUCCAAGUAUGCUCUUGGCAAUUAUACUAAGUAUAUAAUUAAUAAUCUCUUAAUUCUGACGCACUGUGAAUUGAAUCAGUAUGAAUAACUUUUCUUGUUGGAUUAUCUUGAUUUGUGUUUAUCAAAUUCUAUUUUAUAGGUGAAAAUUGUAGUUUUUUGCUUACACUCUACUUAAAUAACUGACAAUAAUUCUAUCACAUAUAGAUACAAAGUGGACUUGAGCUGAAAAUUACUAACUAGAAUGAAACAUGUAAAGAUAACAAACUUAACAGAAAAACAAACUAACCUAACUAACACGCAAGCAAGAGGAAAAAGUGAAACAUGCUAAUGAACAAACCUUAGUAUAAACAAUUCUAAUUGGGACAGAUAUGAUAUGGGUUGGAGCUAAGAUUCAAUAGAAAUUUACCCUACUUUGUGUUUUAUCCUUACAGAUAUGUUUGAAUUAGUGAUAUGAGGUUGAAUGAAGUGAAAUAUUAAUUAUAGGAUUCCAUAUAUGUACUAGAAAGAAGAUUACACUUCACAAGAAUGUAAACUUUUGAUCUAGUGUUUGUUAGAGUACAUUAAAAAGAAAGAAGAUUACACUUCACAUGAAUCAUAUUGUUAUGAAUUACACUCCCCCAUCAUAUCAGUUAUGAUUGAUUUACAAUGUAUAGUUGAAAAUGGCAUCAAGGAAUUGCAUUUGGAUUUUCCUACAGGUUUCUAAACAGGGUUGGCAUUAAGUUGCCUUCUUCAUUUUCUUGCGUUCUGAAAGGGUAUGAACCCUUUUAUAAGAACAAAGAAUAACAAAAUAACAAUGGAUGUGAUGGAACCUUGUACUGAUAUGAUUAAUUGAGUGAAUAGAACAAGAAUUGUUUAAUGUAAAUUAAGCAAAAGAGGACAGAAUCCUUUUAGGGAAAAAGCAGGAAAAGUGCAGUAGAAAAUCUGCAAGAGCAGUACAGGAAAAAAGGAAAUAAUGCAGAAUUCAGAGUCUCAGAGAGAGAGGCCUUGAGCUGUCAUAUUCCACACCCUCUCCUAGUGAAAAUCACUCUAUUUAAUCAAAUUUUUUGUUACGCUUUCUUUCUUUGUUGCUCCUUCUUAGUCCCUUGAUUUUUUUUUUUGAACAAUCUUCUUAGUCCCUUGAUGAUAGGAGGAACACGCACCAUCUGUCCUCUAGACCCAUGUGCUUCAACUGGUUUAUUCUCCCUUGGUUUAUUCUCCCUUGAUGGUGUAUCCUCUGAAAAGUGAAAUACUAACUAGUUAAAAAAAAAAAUCCUAGUUAACUUAGCUAGCUGCAGUAACAGAAUUCAAAUAUACCAUUAACCAAUGGACACAAACAAUUUUUCUGUACUAGGGAAACGAGAUAAUAUGCAACACUUUUUACAUGAGGGGAACCUUAAAACUGACCAUUCUAGAACCUGGGUGUACCUUUCCGUAAAUAAAUCAAAAGCCAUGCUC